CGCGAAAUUUAACAUUCUCUCGGCUGGUAUUUUUCGCAAAUACCCCUCCUUAACAUGAUAUAUCUGUUCAAAAGUCCUUUCAACCCAAGGUUUUUAACUUUGUAUAUGUUGUUAAUGGAAAUCAAAUCUAGGUAAAGUUUGAUAUUGAUAAUUUUACUGAACAUUCAUGAGUUAUGUUCAUCGAAAUAUUGAAAAAUAGCAUGACACAAAAACAAUUUCUUAAAGUUUUGAUUAGUUUAUUUCAUGAAUAUAAUUGAAAUAAAAUAUCAACUUUAAACAGUAAAUAUAUUCACCAUAGUUAGAGAUACAAAUAAUUACAUCUAAAUCAGCCAAAGUCUUCAUUUAAUGCCUUAAUAGAGUUAUUUCACUUUUAGAAAUUUUCACUAAAUUAAUCAAGAUUUAUUUUAAACUUUUAAAUUUGUUUAUCUAUGAAUCUGUAAGAUCAAUGUAUAGUAAGCUUGAGCUGAUUGAAACUUAUGGAAUCUUGUUGGUGUUGAAUGUUUAAAGCAGUUAUUGCAAAUUUGAUUGGUUGAUAUAAUAAGCAGGUAAAUUUCUUUCUGACAUUAAAUUUUCAGUAAAAUUGACAACCUACUAUAAUGUUAUGGGACAAUAACCCCUCACUUGUUUUACAGGAAAAUUUGCUGUUUUGGAUUAUUAUUUCAAAUAUUUUUUAUACAGAAAGAGGAAAUGUACAUAGCAAAAAUGUUAAGAAAAGUAAAAACACAUUAUUCAACUUACCCCUUACCAAAUUUAUUAUCCUUAAAAGAUAUUUUUUUCAUUUUUUUCUUUUUGAGAACUAUACAAGUAAGAAUUAUUUGGUCAUCUCAGGAAGAUGAUAUUCUCGAUUGAGCUGGUAAAUAUGUAUAUAUUCAACCAAAUUUUUAUAUAUUUUUUCAUUAAAUUAUUUAAUUUAGUUGUCUAUUGGAAAAUUUGUAUAUUCUAUAUUAUACAUAAAUCAACUUUGUACAGGCUUAUUAUAAAAUUUUGUACAAUAUAUAGAAAUAGAUGAGUUUAGUUAAAAAAAAAAAAAGCAUUCAGGUUUUCUGAGUAUUUUAAGAUACUAUUAAGAUUGUGAUGCUGGUUCAUACACAAGUAAGUUUGUGCUCAACAUUAUCAAAUUAUUUUUCUAAUCAGUUAAAGUUCAAAUUAAUACAUAAAUUCAUUUCUGUUUCACAUCUUAGUGAGUAAGAAAAUUUUCAAAUAGUAUUAAAGGGAAUUAACUCCUAAAAUCACAUUUUAUAACUAUCAAUCGUUAAAUAAGCUGCUUUUUAAACAAUUCUGCAAUAUAUAAAUGGUGUGUUUUUUUAUACGACCUCUUAAGGAUGUACUUAGGUGAGGUUUUGGAAUAAGCGUCAAAUGUUCGGACUCCUUGGUGUUUUUCAAUACGAUACAAAGUAAAAUAUUUUGCCCCAUAACACCUAUUUAUCUUUUAACAUAAGACUUAAAAGCUUAUAAAAGGUCAUUUGACAAAAUUUAAGCAGAUUCUUGAUUUUCUUUCUUUUGAUUUGAGACCCAAAUAAUACCAAUGCAAAUAUAAGGUAAAAGUCCGAGUCAGCCUUUUCCCGCCAUAUUUUAUAAAUCAAAUAUCUCGAAAAGGAGCUCCAUGACCUAUCAAUAUUUUUAGCUUAUUUUGAACCUUAACUAUUGCUCUUCCAGCUUAAAGUAUCAAUUUUGAAUUCUUGAUUUAUUUAAUUUUACCUUAGAUCACCUAAGUACAUCCUUAAAUUAAAAUUUUUAUGGUCCUAUAUUGGUAUCACAUCUUCGUCGUUGUCAGUGUCGUUCAAGGACGGAUGAUUUCCAGAUAAUAACUUUAGUAUAAGUGAAUAGAAAUCAUCAAAAUUUUAACACAAGGUCUAUGACCACCAAAGGAAGGUUGGGAUUGAUUUUGGGAGUUUUAGUCCCAACAGUUUAGGAAUUAGGGGCAAAAAGGGGCACAGAUAAGCAUUUUUAUUGGUUUUCGCACAAUAACUUUAGUAUAAGUACAAAGAAAUCUAUGAAAUUUAAACACAAGGUCUAUGACCACUAAAGGAAGGUUGGGAUUGAAUUUGGGAGUUUUAGUCCCAACAGUUUAGGAAUUAGGGGCAAAAAGGUGCACAGAUAAGCAUUUUUAUUGGUUUUCGCACAAUAACUUUAGUAUAAGUAAAUAGAAAUCUAUGAAAUUUAAACACAAGGUUUAUGACCACAAAAGGAAGGUUUGGAUUGAUUUUAGGAGUUUUGGUCCCAUCAGUUUAGGAAUUAGGGGCCAAAAGGGUCCAAAAUUAAACUUAGUUUUAUUUCAUCAAAAAUUGAAUUCUUGGGGUUCUUUGAUAUACCAAAUCUAACCGUGUAUUUAGAUUCUUAAUUUUUGAUCCCGUUUUCAAAUUGGUCUACAUUAAGGUCCAAAGCCGGGUCCCAAAUUAAACUUAGUUUGAUUUUAACAAAAAUUAAAAUCUUGGGGUUCUUUGAUAUGCUGAAUCUAAACAUGUACUUAGAUUUUUUUAUUAUAGGCCCAUCUUUCAAGUUGGUCCAAAUCAGGGUCCAAAAUUAAACUUUGUUUAAUUUCAACAAAAAUUGAAUAUGUGGGGUUCUUUGAUAUGCUGAAUCUAACCAUGUGUUUAGAUUUUGGAUAUCGGACCAUAAAUGUCCAAUUUAAAUUUUUCCAGUUCUUAGACCACAUUCAUUCUGUGUCAACUAUUUAAUUACAAUACAAAUUAAGAGCUGUAUCAAGCUUUACUGUUGUGUCCAUACUUGCCCCAACUGUUCAGGGUUCGACCUCUGCGGUCGUGUCAAGCUGUGCCAGCGGAGCAUCUGGUUCAGUUAUGAAUUAAAUGUUGUGUUGUUAAGGUGUAAUUAAAAAAAAUAGUAUGUUACUUCAUUAACUUGUUUACUAUUUGCUAUAAACAAUUUUUUAAUGAAUUAUAAAGAAUUUUAAUAUUGUUUAGCAUACCACUGAAAGAAAAUCUGUAACUGAGAAUCAUCUACUUUCAGUUAGGUUAUGAGUUAUUUUGAACAUAUUAUGUGAGUUGUAUCAUGUAUAUGUCUUAACAAAGAUUAAUAUAUUUUUAAUAAAGUUAAAAGCAUUUUUAUUAUCAAAUGCUAUCUUAUUGAAAAUUUUAA